CACUGAUACGUUGUUUGAGUUGCACCCAUUCCUCAGGAUCUGUGAUUUACAAAGUUUUACCAAAGUCCUGAGAACAGCAUAAGCAGGAAAUACUACCCUGAAAGCAACCAACUUGGAAUACUACCUGAACUUCAAAAAAAUAAUCUGUUUCAAAAAUGUGAAAGGCUUCAGCAUGCAAACAAUUGAGAGCUCCUAGAAGAAGAAAUUCAAAGGUCCUCGUUCUUUCUA
rnacentral:lncRNA from 1 species